AGUGGACGCUGGCGGCGUGCUUAACACAUGCAAGUCGAACGGUAGCAGAUAGAAGCUUGCUUCUAUGCUGACGAGUGGCGCACGGGUGAGUAAUGUAUAGCUAACGUGCCCCUUAGAGGGGGAUAACAGUUGGAAACGACUGCUAAUACCCCAUACUCCUUUUAUAUUAAUUAUAGAUGGGAAAUGUUUUUUCGCUAAGGGAUCGGGCUAUAUGGUAUCAGCUAGUUGGUGAGGUAAUGGCUCACCAAGGCAAUGACACCUAGCUGGUCUGAGAGGAUGAUCAGCCACACUGGAACUGAGACACGGUCCAGACUCCUACGGGAGGCAGCAGUGGGGAAUAUUGCACAAUGGACGCAAGUCUGAUGCAGCAACGCCGCGUGGAGGAUGACACAUUUCGGUGCGUAAACUCCUUUUAUAUAGGAAGAUAAUGACGGUACUAUAUGAAUAAGCACCGGCUAACUCCGUGCCAGCAGCCGCAGUAA
rnacentral:rRNA from 1 species